ensembl:miRNA
GGUUGGUGCAAAAGUAACUGCGGUUUUUGCCAUUACUUUCAAUGGUAAAAAGCACAAUUACUUUUGCAACCAA